CAAUUGGAGCAAGACUUUUGUU
rnacentral:siRNA from 1 species